CCGAGAUAUAUUAUCUCCUUUUCUCACAUGUAAAGGUUGCAAAUAUACCCACAGAUGUCUGUUUUGUACAAUGAUAAGGUACCAGCACUAGGGCAUGUCCUGCAGCUUCAAUUUAGGAAUUGGUGAUUUAUAGCCAGUUCUGUGUGUUUUAACAGCAUGGAACCAGAACAAACCUCAGGUCCCUCAGUUUUACAAAGCCGAAGGUCAUAUUAACAUAACUAAAUAUUUUGACUUUGAACUCUUUUUGCCCAUUGGGUUUGUAUAAUUGUUCAUCGUAAAACAGCCCUGGAUUAUUUGGCUUCAUGCUGCCACAAAAAGGAACACAGUUUAGAACAUUUGACUGUGGUAUUUUGAUUUCAUCUGCAGAAGGGAUUUACUAAUUUUAACAACUCUUUUGGAAAUUGUCUUUGAAAAGGAAUUGGUUGCUUUUGGCCCAUUGCCUUGUCCAGCGUGGCAUACUGUGUGUCUGCGUGAGUUUAGCAACCUGGAAACUCUUUGUUCCUCAGCAUUAUUUCCAUCAAAUUGCCAGAGAUAUCUCCUUCCUAAAAUGAAGUAGACUGCCCAGAUCCUGUUUGAAAAUAUGUUGCUGUUGAAGUGUCUGGAAACUGGCUUACCAAGAGUUUCCUAGACUCAAUUUAAAUAAAUCAGUAGAAUGCAGAUUUAAUUGAAUAUAUUUUAAACAAUCAUUUUAGAUGGAAGGAAUUUUAAGGGGGUUAUAAUCCAGUAUUUGAAAUUUAAGGUAUUUUAUGUUUUCAACCAAGCUAUUGGUUGUUAACCCUAUGAACUUAAGGAAAGCUCAUGAUUUGUACUUUGGUAAAUUGAUAUAUUACUAUACUAUUCUAUGAAUAUUCUAACUGCUUCAUUUACAAUAAAGGGAAAUGAUGAAAAUGUGAAAACACAAAAAUAAAUUAUACAGACAUUAAUGUAAUUGUACAUUGAAUGUAUCAUGUAAAACUGGAUUAGACUCUGAUCAAGGAGUGUGAAAAUUGGAGGAAAGAAUUUUGAAAAGUUGAUAUACAGAUGACAUCAUACUAUCAGCAGAACAUAGAAAGGAAUUGCAAUGUCUACCUAAGAAAGUCAAGGAAGAAAGUUCAAGGGCAGAUUUAUAGUUGAACAUUAAGGGGAAAAACCACCACAGAUAAUUUAUAUAACUUUAAAGUAGGAUAUUGAUAUCAUCAAAGAUUCCGUAUAUCUUGUUAUAGUCAGUAAUCAAAACAAGAUACUAAAUUAAAAUAAAGAUUAGAAAGGGCAGAUGUGAAGGAACAAACUAUUCUACUGUAAGGAUUUCUAUUGCAUUUCCAAUUUCUAUGUAUGAUUGUGAAGCUGUAAUGUGAAGAAAGCUGAUAGGACAAGAAUCAACUCAUUUGAAAUGUAGUGCUGGAUGAGAAUGUUUUGGAUAUUCUGGACUACCAAAAAGACGAAUAAAUGGAUUCUACAGCAAAUCAAGCCUGAAAUCUCCUUGGAAGCCAAAAUGAUUAAAUCGAGACUACCAUACUUUGGACAUAUCAUGGGAAAAUACUAGAAAAGGCAACAAUGACUAAUAAGUAAGAAAAGUCAAAGACAACAUUUCCGAUAGUUAGACUCGAUUAAAGAAACUACAAGCCUGAGUCUGCAAGACCUGUGCCAGGCUGUUGAUGAUAGAAGUCUCUCAUUCAUGGAGUUGCCAUAAGCCAAAGUUGAAGUGAGAGCAGUUAACAACAACAAUAUUAUAAGGCCCAGCUUCUGUACACGUUGCAGAACCAGCCAGUGGUCUAAGAGUGGUGCAGUGAAUAAAGAGAGGUCAUAAAAGUUGGACAACAUACAGAGAGAUCAAGGCGGUAGAAGUACAGAGGAUGUGGAAUGUGUAAGUAGCUUCAAAGCUGUCUGAAGCUAAGAAAGCAAAAUACCUAGGGGAAAAAUAGAAGAAAGGAAGGACCAAUGCAAAAAAAAAGAAGGGGAAAAGGUUUCUUAGGAAAAAUAUCAGAUCAGUCAUAGGGGUAGGAAAUAUUGUGUUCUGUGCUGUCAUAAGAUAGAAGCUGACAGCAGGAGUUCUGGUCAUGGAGGAAAUGCUGAAAAGGCACACAUGCCAGUGACUGAAGGAAGAAGGCAGAGAAUGGUGUGAGAACAGCAACAGAAAUGCACCAAAGAGAAAGAGCAGAUGACCUUACAAUGCCAGUGCAAAGUAAUUUCCAGUAUUCCCAGCCUGGGUAGAUUCUGGAUUCAACAGAGCUGCAACUAGUAUAGUGUUGACUGGAUGUUACACAUCUUCACUAGGUUUGCACUCUUUACCCAUAAUAGUCACACACCCCUUUUUGGGAUCCCAAUUUGGGGAUUUAACAAUUCCUCGUGUAAUAGUUGCACCCCCACGCCUGCCCCUUGGAGCAGCCUCUGUAGCUUCAAGGGGCACACUCACAGGUGUGGAAAGGUGUGACUCUGUUCUCUGAGUGUCAGAGAGUUGUCUUGGCAAAGCAACACUCUGGAGUUCAGGGGGGGAGAGGUGUACAAGCAGGUGAUCCUUCACCCACCUCCCUCAGUUGGUGUCAGCUGAGGGAGACCUCAUAGCUCUUGCCAGCAAGUGUAUGGGCAAUUUUGCAGCUACAAGGUUUUCCUUGAUUGGCUGCUGAGGGAAGCCCUGUAGCUGCAAAACAUUUUCUCCUCCUCCUCCUCCUCCUCCUCCUCCUCCUCCUCCUCCUCCUCCUCCUCCUCCUCCUCCCCCUCCCCCUCCCCCUCCCCCUCCUCCUCCUCCUCCUCCUCCUCCUCCUCCUCCUCCUCCCCUCCUCCUCCUCCUCCUCCUUCUUUGAUACACAACAAGAUUAGUACACAGCAAACAAGAUCACUCUGCUGGUUUUUGUAUUUGAUUACACGUUGGACACUUCACAAGUGUCUAGGACUAUGUGAUGUAUCAGCGAAUAAUGUUCGCAGAUCCGAGUAGGGUGGCCUUUCACAGCUGACAAAUGGUAAUUUUGUCAGCGUUUAUUCUUUUCAAGUGCUGACCAAAGUCUUCUUCAGGCAUUGCACUCAGUGUGCUGAUCACCACUGGGACCACCUUUAUUGACUUGUGCCAGAGUCUUUGCCAUUUGAGCUUUAAAUCCUCGUAUCUUGUAAAUUUUUCCAGUUGCUUCUUUUCAUCAAUUCUGCUGUUGCCUGGGAUUGCAACAUCGACGAUCCAUACUUUUCCCCCCCACAAUUGUGAGGUCAGGAGUAUUGUGCUCCAAAACUCUGUCAGUCUGAAUUCAGAAGUCCCAGAGUAGCUGUAACGUUUUCAGGCUCGUGAUCCCACUAGUUCUUUUUCACAGGCAGAUGAUAUUUGUGGCACAAGUUCUAGUGGAUCAUCUGAGCAAUGGUAUUAUGCCUCUGCUUGUAGUCCAUUUGCAAAAUUUCCUUGCAGCAACUGAGUACAUGAUCCAUCAUUUCUUCUGCUUUCUUGCAGAGUCUACACUUGGAAUCUGUAGUCGACUUUUCAAUUCUGGCUUUGAUGGCAUUUAUUCUAAUUGCUUAUUCUUGGGCCCUCUGUCUCCUUUUUCAACAAUUAUUAUUAUGUUUAUUUACCAGUAUAUCUCAUCUUCUCUCUCUGUCAAAGUCACACCCACCCUCCCCCCAACCAAGGGGAAAAUGUGUGACUAUUAUGCGGGGAAAUAUGGUAUGUAUUUUUAAUAUUCCUGUAUUUAAUUCUAUUUCAAUGUUUAUAUGGUUUAGGUUUUAAUUUACACAUUAUGAUUUUUAGUAUUAGUCACUUUGAGUCACCUUUGAGAGAGAAAAAGCAGAAUAAAUGAUGAUAAUGAUAAUAGUGAUGAUGGUGAUGAUAAUAAAAGACUGCAGUUCUGUGUGCAUGCUUCCAUGGAAGUUAUUCUGACUGAACAGACAGAAAUAUGUUCUUCCAAGUGAGCAUGGAGAGUUUUAAGGUUUUAAUAAAUAAGGAUGAACACCAGUAUUAUAUAGCCCUGGUAUCCACUGGGAAUAUAUUCCAUGGUCCCAUGUGGAUAAUGAAAACCAUAGAUAAUGGGGAACACUAUAUCUUUACUCUACUUGAGUUGGAAGCAUACCAUAGAAAUGCAGUGGAAGACCUACAGGGGCCUGCAAACACUUCUGGAAGGAUUUUCUUUUCUUUUUCCUUUUUCUUUUUUCAGAGGAAAUGUAAAUAAAACCAUGAAUACUGAAUCUGUGGAUAAGGGAGCUAUAUUGUAUAAUAAAAUUAAGUCACAAUUUACCCCAUUUCACUCACCAUUGAAAGACUGUAUCAACACAGUAUUCAACACAGCAUUUCCUUUCCCACCAGGUUUUCCAUGUGUGGGUGACAGCAGAAGGUUCUCACUGCCGUAUUUUUUGUCAUGACGCACUGAAGGCUGCUUUUUGAGAACUACAAGGGGCAUGACUUGAUUAAAAUGUGGAGCAAUGUCAGUCAGUGUUAGCUGGAAUUGUGCGUUUAUACUCCAAGAUUGGAAAGACAAAUGCUCACCAUCUGUUGUUCCAAACCUGGAGAAUCUUAGUGCUUUGGUGUGCUCUUAAAUGUAUAACUAACUUCCCAAUUCCAAUUUCAGUCAGAUUUUGAGGGAACAUAUCAGCUUAAAUUAACAUAUAUGUCUAACCCAUCUGCAUAUACUGGACAUUUUCCUCCUCCUGCCCCCCCCCCAUUUUUGCUCUUAAAAUGUAAUUUUUUAAAAUGUGGAGGGAGGAGCCAGACUCUAUUCAGUUCAAUGCCAAGCCACUCAAAUAUAUUGGAUUUGGACUUGUGUUCAGCAACGUUUUACUCCCCCUGAAGUUGGGGCAGAAUGGUGAUGUCUUAGAAUAAUAAAAUCACAGAGUUGGAAGAGACUACAAGGGUCAUCCAGUCCAACCCCCUGCCAUGCAGGAACACAAAAUCAAAGCACUCCCAACAGAUGGCCACCCAGCCUCUGCUUAAAAACUUCCAGAAAUGGAGAUUCCACCACACUCCGAGGCAACAUAUUCCACUGCCGAACAGCUCUUGCCAUCAGAAAGUUCUAGCUAAUGUUCAGAUGGAAUCUUUUUCCUGCAAUUUUAAUCAAUUGCUCCAUGUCCUAGUCUCCAGAGCAGCUCUCCUAGCCCCCUCCUGUGUGACAUCAUUUCACAUAUUUAAACAUGGCUAUCUUGUCCCCUCUCAGCCUUCUAUUCUUCACACUAAACAUACUCAGCUCCCAAAAGCUGUUCCUUAUAGGAUUAAUAAUAAUAAUAAUAAUAAUAAUAAUAAUAAUAAUAAUAAUAACUUUAUUUUUAUACCCUGCCUCUAUCUCCCCAAAGGGGACUCAGGGCGGCUUACAUGGGAUUUGGUUUUCCAACCUUUGAGAAUUUUGAUCAUCCUUCUCUGGACACAUUCUAGCUUGUAAAUAUCAUUAUUGAAUUGCAGUGCCCAGAACGGGACACAGUAUACCAAAUGGGGUCUAGCCAAAGCAGAAUAGAGUGGGAUGAUGACUUGAUCUUGACACUAUACUCCUUUUGAUGUGGCCCAAAAUCCCGCUGACUUUUUUUUUGCAACUGCAUCACACUGUUAACUCAUGUUCAGUUUUCACAUGGACUGUUUUCAAGCCAGGUGCCACCCAUCCUAUAACUGCAUUUCACUUUUAUUGCAAAGUAUCGUGCCAUACAUUUCUCCCUGUUGAAAUUCAUUUUGUUAAUUUUGCCCCAGCUCUCUAAUCUUUUAUGGUCAUUUUGGAUUUUGUUGCUGUCUCCUGGGUUAUUGGCUAUCCUCCCGAUUUCAUCUCACCUGCAAAUGUGAUAAGCAUUCCUCCUAUUCCAUCAUCAAAGUCAUUGAUAAAGAUGUUGCAUAGCACUGGGCCAAGGACAGAACCCUGUGGCACGCCAUUGGUCACUUCUCUCUGAGAUGAUGAUGGAGGAGCCAUUGGACAGCACCCUUUGGGUUUGGUCUGUCAACCAAUUCCCAAUCCACCUAAUAUUAGCAUUGUCAAGCCCACAUUUUAUUAGCUUCUUUGUGAGGAUGUUGGUGAACUUUGACAAAGGCCUUACUAAAAUCGAGAUAUGCUACAUCCACAGCAUUUACUAAGGUCUCUCUCUCUCUCUCUCUCUCUCCCCCCCCCCCCCCCACCUCUCUCUCUAUAUAUGGUUUGUCUGGCAUGGCUUAUUUUUGAGAAAUCCAUGUUGACUUUUUGCAAGUAUGCCAUUCCUUUUUAAGUGCUUACAGAUUGUCUCUAAUUGUCUGUUCCAGAAUCUUUCCUGCUAUAAUGUCAGGCUGAUUGGGCAGUACUUGUUUGGGUCCUUUCCUCCCACCCAUUUUUGAAGAUGGAGACAACAUUUGCUUUCUUCCAGUCUGCUGGAAUUUCUCAUGUUCUCCAGGAAUUUUAACUUAUUGCUGCAGCCCCUGCAGCCUAGUUGUAACAGCAUCGUAGUGGCGCUGUUUCCCCAGCAUGAAGCCUUACUUGCAUCCCAUUACCAGAUGGAAUUAGCAAAGACUAGAACUUGACUUCCUACCCCACUCCAUAUCCCCUAGGGAACACUUCUGCACUUUGUCCAUUCACCCUACCAAACGGUUUUGCAAUUUAUAUCUCUGCAUUUUUGCUUAGAUCGUCCUCCUACUUUAUCUAUUUUGCUAUUAAGUGGUGGUUUUUGCUUUUUAUCAUCUUUGUAUUUUAUUGUUUUAUUAUUGUAUUAUAUUGUAUUUUGUGGUUUUAAUCUGUUUAUUUUACCUGCUCGAUGAUGUUGUUUACAUAUGUAUUUUUAUUUUGUUCCCUAUUUGUUCUUUGGGCUUAGCCCCAUGUUAAGCUGCUCCGAGUCUCUGCGGGGAGAUGGAGGUGGGAUAAAAAAAUAAAGUAUUAUUAUUAUUAUUAUUAUUAUUAUUAUUAUUAUUAUUAUUAUUAUUAUUACGACUACUACUACUACUACUAGAACAAGUGGAGACAUCCCCAUUUAUGCAUUGCAUCUAAGUGGUGAUGGAUAAUACCUAUUGUUCCACUUUUCUUCCUUUGAAUCAGGGGUUAAAAUGUUUAAUUACAUUCCUGUAAGUAAUAUGCAUUGUAUUGAGGUAUGCCCCUCUCAGGCCCUUCUACACAGCUGAAUAAAAUCCCACAUUUUAUGCUUUGAGCUGGGAUAUAUAGCAGUGUGAACUCAGAUAACCCAGUUCAAAACAGGUUUUGUAGGAUUUUCUGUAUUGAUAUUCUGGGUUAUAUGGCUGUGUGGAAGGGACCUCAGAGGAACAAAUACUAUUGAUAAAUGGAUUCUACUUACACCUACAAUUUCUAUACUUACUCUCCAGUAUACUUUGUAGAACAUAUGGGAAGCAAAGGAGAUUGGAUAUUUAGAUGUGUAAAAGAAACCAUGAUAACAGUCUGACAGUUUAACAAAACAUUAUUAAGAACGGGCAGCAAUUGUGGAUGAUAUAAGAUUAUUCUUCCACGAAGAAGAAGAAUCCAGCCAGCUGUUUCCAAAUACUCCUUUGCUAUCAUGAUCAGCACUAGUUCACAGAUUGUUUGUUUGUUUUUUUCAGUUAAGGAAGCUUGUUUAAAAUGCCCUUAGAUAAAUUUAGAAACCAUAUGUAGUGAUGUGCAGAAGACAUUAUUUAAUGUUCAUUUGAUUACUAAACGCAAAGUAAAAUUAUAUAUGUGAAAGUAAUCUUGACCUGAUCUUAUUAGCUGUAACUAUGGUUGUAGCUACUGAAAACAUGCAUACAUAUUCAAGAGAUUUAAUAUUAUAUUAGUUCAUAAUUGUCUCAGGAGAUAAACUUCAACAGCAUAAAUUAAAAGGGACCCCUGGGCAGAGUAUAGGUGGUAGACCUCUGCUUCCUGCAGCCAAGAAAGGGCAAACAGGUUAUGAACCUCCAAACACAUACCCUAGGGAUUCAGCCUUUCCCAGAUUUCCCACUCUGAUGUGAUGGAGUAUUGAACCACUGGCUUACUAAUAUGAAAUCAGUCAGAAAAGAAAUUUCUGUCAUCUGAAUCUGUAUUUGUUACCAGGUGCUAUAAUUUUACAUGCCGCAUAUACCCAUAAAGUAAAAGGUUUUCCUCUGACAUUAAGUCUAGUCGGGUCUGACUCUGGGAGUUGGUGCUCAUCUCCAUUCCUAAACUGAAGAGCCGGCGUUGUCCGUAGACACUUCCAAGGUAAUAUGGCCGGCAUGACUGCAUGGAGCGCCAUUACCUUCCUACUGGAGCAGUACCUAUUGAUCUAUUCAUAUGUGCAUGUUUUCAAACUGCUAGGUUGGCAAAAGCUGGAGCUAACAGCUGGAGCUCACUGUGCUUCCCGGAUUCGAACUGCCAACUUUUCAGUCAGCAAGUUCAGCAGCUCAGCAGUUUUAACCUGCUGCCCCAUCAGGGGCUCUUAUAUAUACCCAUCUAUUUGUUGAAUUUUGGGCCCAUUUCUUUGUCAAAAAAGUUCAACGUAUACUCAUGUAUUUGUUGACAUUUUUUGACAAAGAAAUGGACGCAAAAAGACUGCAUCAAAUUAUCCACAAGUCAUUUCUAGAAAUGCUCUGUGCUUCCUGUCAUUUUGGAUGCUUGAAAUAUAGUGGAACCAAUGGUGGUCAUUUUCAAUAUGGCUUACUGUAUAAGUCUCAUGAGGCUUGGCAGUCUUUCUGCAAGCCUCACAAGACUUGCAAAGAGAGAACAGGAAGCCCAUAUUAAAAAUGGCUGCCACCUCUCUGCUACCCCUCAAGCACCCAAAAUGGUGGACAUGCUACAUUCUUCAGGCUCCCUGACCUUGAUACUGAACGCUGCUCAGAUUGAAAAAGAAAGUGAGGAAUGAAGGAAGAUGGACUUUCUCAAGUUUGGGCAAAGGAGGGUAAUGGGGUCGAAGCACUUUGCAACUCUGCGUCUUGUCGUUGCCUUCACACUGGGUCCCUAAAUACAUAGAUUGCUUUCUUUUCAGACGAUAGUCUCAUUCUUUUCCAUCAUUUAUAUUCUUUCCCCUAUCAUCAUAGGCUAUCAUUCAUGGCCGAGUAUGAUUGACUUCCAAGUGUAGGGUCUUGGUGGUGGGUCUGUAGGUGACUGCAAAGACCUGUUCUUGAUCUGCAUGUUCUUUCAUGGUGAGGGCAACAAUUUCCAGGUGGAAGGCAGUGCCGACAAGGUUGGCUUGACAUGCCUUCCUCUUGACACGUUUCUACCGUUUAGUCGUACCUAUUUAAAUUCUGCAACACUGUUGGUAACAGCUGACCUCCAGCUAGAGUGCUCGGGGGCCAGGGCUUUCCAGUUCUCAGUGUCUAUGCCACAAUUUUUAAGGUUAGCUUUAAGCCCAUCUUUUAAUCUCUUUUCCUGUCCACUAAUAUUCUGUAUUCCACCCUUGAGGUGAUUCAACUCCCCUAUCUACUAUAUAUUUAUACAAAUGUGGACAUUUUAGGAUUAGCAUUUCAAUUUACCCGCACCCCCUCCAUAACUCCUCAAACUGAGCAUCCCCAUCUCUUUAGUUCUUCCUAAGUAUAUGCCUUCUAUGCAUUUUUGUAAUGAGAGGAAAAAAUGUAUGUUACAUUAUUUUGAGUUUUAUCCUUGAUUUACCCACAGGUCAUAGAAUAAUCCAAAAAUUUGACCCUAAAACCUGCUCUCAAUUGAUACAUGAGAUUGACUUGUACACAAGUGUACUGCAGUUGUCAAUUAGACUUUCCACCAUAGAGAUCACAAAUAGAUGCUGUAUCCUGGAGUUGGUCCAAUUAAUUCCAUCAUCACCAACCCACAUUCCCUACCCUGAAGAUGGGUGAUUAAAAACAACACACAGUGGCAGUUGGCCACUGAGAGAAUAACAGAAAGAAAUAAUCAUCUCAUUUUCUUACCUUUUACCCAUCCGCAAUUUGAAAUCCACCAACACAACUAUUGUCCUUCUAUUGCUUUUCAGUUUAUUGAACCUAGGACUUUAUUAUAUAAAAUAAUAACUUUUCUUGAAAAACUAAAAUUGCAUUAGCUGUUAUAAUCCAAGGUCUGUGGAUUGGAGAUCUAGUGCCAAAUUUUGAUUUCAAUCCUAUUUUUAAGGUUCUUCAGACAAAUUGAUCCCUCAUUCAUAAAAGGGCCCUCCAAAAGCUCAUGUUGCCAAGUCUAAUAGUAUUUUCUUUGUAGUAGUACAAAUUCAAAUAUGAUCUUCUAGUUAUAUUAACUACACAAUUUUUGUUAAUUUACUAUUUGAAAUAUGGUGGCAGUCUUGGGUAAUACCAUGCUUUGGCUUGAGGGCAGCAGAAUAUUUUCGUAAGACCAUAUCAAGCGGGUGUGAUUGGACAUGUUUGAGUAGGAUGUUUCUUUUUGUUGGCUGGAAGUAGUCAGGUAGUUGACGCACCCAGAUGGAAUUUUUAAAAUAUGUAUGAGAGUGGCAGCUGUGUGUGGGAAGAGUGACUUCAAGUGUACAGAAGAACAGGGGAGAGAAGGUGACGCUUUUUACUGCAUAUCUUAAUGUGUUUACAGAGCUGAGCAGAAGGCAAAUGAGAUUUACGUUUCCUGUCCCCUGUUUUCAGGCCAUGGUAGCAAUCCUGUUGGUAUCUUAUGCAAGAAGGAACUCCCAUGUGACAGCAGUGGGGCAGUUUUGUCUGAUGCAGGAGCUUGGCAUACAGCUCAGGUUAAUGGAAGUAAAAUUGCUUAUAUGGUGCCAUUGCACACACAUUUCAUUGUGAAAUUGGCUGCACGUUUGGAUGUGUGUUCCAUUGUACUAAACUGCCAUUCAACAAUCAAUGGGUGACUCUACAAAGCAGAGAUGUACAGUAUCGAGCCCCAAUAUAAAGUCUUGACCUUUGUUAUUCUGCAUUAGAGUUGGCAAAUGUUAUUGAACUGUGGUUCCCAUUGUCUGUCAUCAUUAACUGUGCUGAUUGAUGGGAAUUGUAUGCUAGUAAAAUCUACCCCUGGUGGUGCAGCGGAUUAAACCACUGAGCUGCUGCACCUGCUGCCCAAAAUGUCAGUGAUUCGAUUCCAGGGAGCGGGGUGAGCUCCCGCUGUUAGCUUCAGCUUCUGCCAACCUAGCAGUUCGAAAAUGCAAAUGUGAGCAGAUCAAUAGGUACCGCUCCAGCAGGAAGGUAACAGCACUCCAUGCAGUCAUGCCAGCCACAUAACCUUGGAGGUGUCUACAGACAACGGCAGCUCUUUGGCUUAGCAAUAGAGAUGAGCACUAUUCCACAGAGUUGGACACGACUAGACUUAAUGUCAGGGGAAUACCUUUACCUUUACGAAAAUCUGAAAAGUUACAAUGUUGAUCCCUUUUUUACCCGAGAUCUAGGUUUAAAUUAUCUUUUCAUAUACAGUAAUCAUAAUUAAAAGAUACCACAAGGGCCAUCUAGUCCAGUCCCCUUCCACACAGGAAUACACAAACAAAGCACUCCUAACACAUGGCCAUCCAGGCCCUGUUUAAAAAAUUUCCAGAAAAGAGAGUCCAGAAAAGAGACUCCGAGUCAUCAUAUUCAGUUGUCAAAUAGCUAAUGUUUUGAUGGAAUCUCUUUUCCUGUAGUUUCAAUCCAUUGCUUGACAUGUCUCUGGAGUAGCAGUAAAUAAGUGUGCUCCCUCCUUGUUAAAAAUGUUAAAAAGGAUACCACUGAAGAGCACUGUCUCUAAGAAAAAUAAUAUGCUUAUUUAUUUAUUUAUUUUUGGCAAGUAGGUAAUCCCAGUGGAAAUUUAAGAUGAGCAUUUAGUUUCUUAUACUGGGUCUUGUUUUUGUUGCUAUGUUAGUCAUUUCCCUAUUUAAUUUAUGGAUACUGUUAUUCCUGGGCCCCCACUAGAAGAGAACAGACUAAACCUAUAGAGAGAACCCAGCAAUUCAGAUAUUUAUAAGUCACUUAAAAAUAUUCACAGACAUGUAUUGUACCGGAUAUUAGAGAUCUGGCAAGCAAAGCAUUAGACAUGACUCUCAGCAAGGUUGCAGAGCUGACCUGGAAUCCAGAAACUAGGGUGGAGGCUAUAGCGCUCAGCCACAACAACUACUGCAUUCAUAUGAACUGUAUUCAUAACACUGCAGGUCCUUUGUGACAACUGGUUCACCUACUGGUAAUGGUUGGCUCUGAACCUGGUUUAAGAUUGGCUUUAUCAGGUUAUAAUGCUUAGUGUGUGUUUAAUCCUGGCAACCAAGUAAAAUACUUUCCUAUAGGUUGAGGUGGUUUUCUGUACAGGCAGCCCCAGGUUAUGAACAAAAUAGGUUUUGUAGGUUGCUGUCCCUGUGAUCACUUUCUGUCACUGUGAUCAUUGAAUUUUUAAAGAUUUGGCUUGUUGUGGAAAUAAUAAUUGGAUAGAAAGUUUCAGUGGACACACCUUUUCCCCAUGAUAAUGCUUUCAGGAGUGAAUUUCCCUUCCUAAGGGUAGAUUUAAUAGAAUCAUAGAAUUAUAGAAGAAUAGAGUUGAAAGAGACCACAUGGACUAUCUAGUCCAACCCCCUGUCAUUCAGGAAAGCACAAAGAUUUAUCUUGCUUCCUGUUGUCUCACCCCAUUCUUAACUAUGAGUAGUUUGUAAGUCGGAUGUUUUUAACUCGGAGACUGCCUGUAUAGUAGUCAGGCUCCAUGUAUAGGAGCCAUAGAUUCUUCUGGCUGAAGAAGUUAGCUAUUAAUGACACAUUCCCUGAAAUGAACAUCAAGAGUUCAGUUUUCAUAUGAGAGAAAACUCUAUGUCUGGAGAAGUCUGCUCUAUAGCCCAAGGUACACCAUGGAGAAUCCACAUUUGAGAUGUUCAACUAUAAAUACUCAUAAAAUAAAAAAGAGAUUUGGGGCACUACUGAAUUUGAGGGGUAACUUCUUUCAAUAUGAAGAUGGAUACAACCUGGGAUGGGAAUACCCUGAAGCCAUUUUGCAGUCCACACAGCCUGCCAGGCCAAUAGCACAUCAGCACCAGUGCCCUGGCCUCCUGGGGACGAUUUGCUGCUGUUCACUGACCAGUAGCAGCUCCCUGGUAGAACCUCACUGAUGACAUCACUUCUUGUUGAAGUCACAACAAAGCACCCAACCAAUUGAUCACCGGAAAGGAUGUCGCCAGAAAAGCUCUGCUAGAGAACUCCUUCUAGCUGGUGAUACACUGGUGAGUGUUUUUGACAUGAACCCUGGAUCCAGCCUGAAGCAGUUGUCCACAUAUCAAAAACACCAAGGAUCACUCUGGAGUGUCCCAGAAGCUCCAAAAUAACCUGUGGCCUCUGUAACGGAUUAAGAGCUAAAAGCAGUGCAAAAAUUGGCCAUGCCGAGUAUAUUUUAUUUGGCCCAUGUAGACCUGAGGUUGGUCAGGUUGCACCCGUUCUUCAUAUUGCAAAAACCUAGUCCUCAAAAUUAACCCAGUUGAGCAGUAAUGCCUGAGACUUCUUUUUAUUAUUAUUUUGUGAAGAUCUAGAAGUGAAGAUUUCAAAUUCAUUUCACUACUUCCUGUGUCAUUCACGUUUUUCAAUAGUUAAAGCGGGCUGUGGAUCAACUUGAAAACAAUUUAAAAGGGAAAGUCAAUGCCUCCUCAUUUUCAGUCUUCUGGCAGUCUUAGGGCAUAUCCAGACAGCUCCUUUAAAACGGGAGUUUCCGUACUUGAAAGUGGGCCAUCCAGAUGAUGUACUACAGAAAAACAAAUUAAUUCGCCACAAACAAGGAAAACCCUGGUUUGCAGCAAAUUAAUUUGAUAGCCCAUUAGGCACGCGGCUUUCUGAAAGGCCUGAGUCUAAUGAGCUAUGACCCUGUGUGGACAAGCCCACGGGGAGUCCUUGGAUUUCCCUGUGGCCUGUCCAAACACCCAUCCUGCACCUUCUGGGCUCUUGGAGUCCAGAAGGUGCAAUAUUACCCCCACUCCUUCCCAAAACCCCUUAAAAACAGGGGGAAACAGUAAAAAUAACUUACCAGUCUUCAUGAGGACUGUGCUGUGAGGCCUAAUGGAGAGUGGUACGUUAUUUUUACUGUUUCCCCCAUUUUAAGGAUGUUUUUUGUGGCGGGGGGGGGGGGGGCUGUCUCCAUGUUCUCCCGGUAGGUACCAAGAGGACAUGUAGACAGCACCUUUUAAACCCGGGUUGAAGAGGACUUUACUGCUGUCUGGAACUGAACUAAGUCUUCUAUGUAGCAGGAUAACAUUCUAAUAUUUGUGAAAUAUGUAAAAAAUUGUAUGCUAGCAAAAUCCUGAACAGUGUAGUUUAACCAAUAUAGGUUGUUCAUAAGACAUUGGGUGGGGGUACUUAUUUCUUUAGGAACACAAUCAAAUUCACUAGCAGUACCUAUUAGUUGCCCUGCUUCCAUUAAUUAAGUAUUUAAAUCAUUUUAGAAUCUUUCCUUCUUAGGUAUGACAAGAGCAGUUACUUUCCAUUUCUUCAGCUCUGUUUACUUAAAUAAAUAUAUCAAAGUUUUACUUCCUGGAGUUAUAUAAAGAAUUGAUCAAAGAUUUAAAGCUAUCAGAAGCAAAAUGUUAAAGUACUUGUUUCUCUGUUGGGCAAAAACAGUAGCUUUAGAGCACUUCAAAGAGAAUAUAUUGCUGGGAGUGAUGUUCAGGAAAAAAUUACUGCCUUAAUUAGUGGUAAGCAAUCAUAGCAGAUGAAAAGUUUUAGAGGUAUAACAGUGUUGAUUCAUCAUAGCCCAAAUUGCUUGGGGUGGAUUUCAAACAUUUAUUGUCCUCCUUCAUAAUGAUAACAGUCUAAAAAUAUGGCCUUUCUCCUCUAUGGAUUCUGAAGUCGCUCAGAUGCCAAGGCUCAGAUAUGAAAGUUUUCUCAUGUUUUGUCUUUUUUAUUUUAUUUUUUCCAUGCCACUGCCAUUGCCUCUGUCAUCUUCUCUGUUUGCUCAGAUAGUUCAAGCAUGGUUGUAUAGUUUUGGUGCUAUCUUGUAUGUGCAUUUGUAGCUAUACGAAUAUAGUAGGUGAACCUGCUAUUGAACAACUAAUGAAAGAUGAGCACAGAAUGAAAUAGAAAUGGAAGUUAUGAACUGAUUUGAAGAGCUGGAAAUAGACAACACUGGAAGAAACAAAACAAGUCAUAACUGAAGCAGUUUAAAUGUAAUUAAUUCAUCAAUUCAUUAAUUGUUUGAUUUUAUAUUCUGUCUUUAUCUCAGCACAGGAUACAAGGUAGCUUACAGUAUUGGAAUUAACUACCUAAUUAAAAUCAACUGAAUUAUGAUUUAACAGCUGUCAUGUUGUAGUGGUUUAAUCAUUGGACUAGAAUUUUGGAGAACAGGGUUUGAAUUCCCGUUUGACCAUGGAAACCCACUGGGUGACCUUGGGCAAGUCACACUCUCUUAGUCGCAGAGGAAGGCACAGCAGACUCCCUCUAAACAACUCUUGCCAUGAAAACCCUGUGACUAGAUUAGCCUCAGGACUGCCAUAUGUUUCAAACAACUUGGUAUACAGAUUGAGUUACGAAUGUAUCUAACUAUUAAUUUCAUCAAACAUCAAUGCAAAUGGCUCUAGUAAUUUUUGUGACCAUGCUCAGGGUAUGCUAGUUUAGUUAACAGACAAUUCCAUAAUAUUGUCCUCUUGUUAGAACUCCAUGUACUUUACAUAUGAAUUUUAAUUUGAGACUUUUAAAGCCAGAGUCCUGUGCUGAGAUCCACACGAAACAGUAAAUUUAAGAAAAGAGGAGAGCGAACUAGAUAAAGGGGGAAUUAAUGAGACUAUACUAAGAAAGGAGAAAGAUUUUUGUUGGCAUGGUAGAAGAACAAGGCUUUCAAAAUUUAAGACAGUGGUUUUCUUUUCUCCAAAAGUCAGCAUGGUAGGGGCCAGGGAAUAAUUAAAUCAUGGAUGGGGUUUUCACCUUAAUUGUGUACUGAUGUAGCAUAAAUUUAAAUGCUAAUUUAAAACAAUGUAUGCGUGUGUAUGUGCCUUCAAAAUACCUUUGAUUUUAAAUAACUAUAUUAAUUUCAUAGAUUGUUCUUAGGCAAAAGAUACUUGGAGGUUGUUGUGAAUUUUCCAGGCUGUGUGGCCAUGUUCCCGAAAGCUUCUGGAACAUGGUCAUACAGUCUGGAAAACUCACAACAAUCCAGUGAUUCCUGCCAUGAAAGCCUUUGACAACACAAUACUUGGAGGCAUUUUUUGCCAGUUCCUUACUCAGAAAUGUAGCCUCCAGCAUCUGGCAUUUGUUGGUGAUCAUGUAAGCAUUAACUAGGACUGACCCUACUUAGCUUCCAAGAUCUGACAGGAUAGGUGAGGGUAAACUAGGGUAAAACCAAGAAAGAUAUGGCUAAAAUUUCUCUCUGAACCAUCUAACCAGAUUACAAAAUGUAAGAAAAAAGCCUGAGCUUUAGACAGACCAGUAGUUUUUGUUAUUAUUUUUCUGCAUCGUGAUACCUUCAUUAAAGGUUUCCUCAUUUCAGCAUAAACAAGAAUGAAUUGUUUGUUAGCAUAUUAUUGAUUAACUUCUCACUGUCUUUCUCCUCUAUGAAUGGAAGCAUUCCAGAAACACCAAUGAAAUGAAGUGGAAAGGAAUGAACAGACUCUGGUACUAAGUGACGAUUGAGAGGGGGUGAAUCCUGUCUCCCUACUGACAUUUGUUAGAAACAGCUGAAUUAGAGAGCCCUUCACACAGCACCGAGCUGUCCGAUGUUGGUGAAAUACUAUCUUUUGCACUAGCUACAUACAUGGAGGUAGUCUGUGCAGACAAUAUGCCAACAGAAUCAUAAUUGGAAGAGACCACAUGGACCAUCUAGUAGUCCAACCCCCUGCCAUGCAGGAAAAGUACAAAGUACCCCGAGAUAUGACUAUCCAGCCUCUAUUUAAAAGCCUCAAAAGAAGGAGCUUCCACCACAGUCCAAGACAGAGUUCCACUGUUGAACAGCAGUCACAAUAAAGUUCUUCCUAAUGUUCAGGUGGAAUCUUCUUUCCUGUAAUUUGAAGCUGUUGCUCCAAGUUCUAGUCUCCAGGACAGCAAAAAACAAGCCUGUUCCCUCUUUAAUUUAUGACUUUAUCAAAUGCAGGGGUAAGUGUACCUAAGCUGUUUCAUUAAGUGUACCUAAUAAAACUUCUACACAGACAGAUAGUGAACCAAAAGAACAGGAAGAAGGGCAUGAAAAUGAGUGGGAAAUGUUAAGUAAAAAAGAAUACCCUAUAUACUCGAGUAUAAGCCGACCUGAAUAUAAGCCAAGACAUCUAAUUUUACCAUAAAAAACUGGGAAAACUUAUUGACUCGAGUAUAAGCCAAGGGUGAGAAUUGCAGCAGCUACGGGUAAAUUUCAAAAUGAAAAUAGAUAUCAAUAAAAUUACAUUAAUUGAGGCAUCAACAAGUUAAAUAUUUUUGAAUAUUUACCGUGUUUCAAAGAAAAACAGUAAACUAGCUCUGUAAGUGGAAAAGUAGGGUCAACAAAAACAACAAUAUGGUAUUAACAAUAACUUAAUAACAACAGCAACAACAAUAACAAAACUUCAUUUGUAUCCCGGCCUAUCUAUCUCCCCAUGGGGACUCAAGCUGGCUUCCAACAUAGUAACAGGCAACAUUCAAUGCCUACAUAAGCAAUGCAGAGCUAGAUAUAGAUCUAUCUAUAUAUAUAAAAGAGUGAUGGAAUUCGGGCAAAGCAACUAAACUACGGGGCCCCCAACCUCGACAUUGGACAACAAAACCCAUCAUCCAUGCCUUAAGGUUGAAACAACACAAAAUCACUUCACGCACCUCCACAUGGAGAGAAUCCACAACGCCCCAUCGGGAGCCAUGCCAGGGAGGGAGGGAAAGAGAAGCCCUCAUUGCCGCCGGCAACAGGGAAGGCAGGCAAUGGGAAAAAGCUGUCCCCUGGGUCCUAGCGCCCGCGCAUCAUCCAAACCAUUUAUCUCCACUCCAACCUUCUACAAUAUCCAACCCAUUUUAAUACUCUAUAUUUUAAAUAUAUGCUAUGAACCAUGACAAUCAACACAAUCUCUCUCCUAAUAUUUUAACAAGCUUAAAAUCACAACACCAAAUAAAAAAACAACACUCUUAAAACACGGGAAUGCCAGACACUAAACAAUCAGGGCCAGCAAACACCUCCCACGAUCUGCCAUGCAGGACACAAUCCAAGCACUCCCAACAGAUGUCCACCAAGCCUCUCAAUAAUAAUAAUAGUAAUAAUAACAACAUCAUCAUACAAUCCUAAGGUUUGCAGAGGCUGACUAUUUCUGUGGCCCUGACAUGUCACAUCUCUUUUUAUGUUUGGAAUCUUUACAGUGUUUGCUUAUCUUUUUCACAUAGAAAGAAGAUAGCUCUAUACUCAGAGAGGCCUGACUAUUUCUGUGGCCCUUACAUGUCACAUCUCUUUUUAUGUUUGGAACCUUUAGAGUGUUUGCUUAUCUUUUUCACAUAGAAAAAAGAUAGCUGUAUACUAAGAGAGGCAUGACUCUACUGUACAUACUAAACAUAAAGACAACCAUACAACAGACAUUCAAUACUACCACUAACUCAAAUUUCUCACCAACACCACCAGACAACGCCACAGCAACGCGUGUCCGGGCACAGCUAGUAAUUAUAUAUACUGAUUUCACAUAUGCAUUCUCCCCUGAAGAGUUUGCAAAUCCUCUCUAUAUAUGUGCAUUUCCCUCCUACAUCUAUCUAGAAAUCUCUAUGUGUGUGUGUGUACAUUUCCCCUGUAGUAUUUCCAAACCCUAUAUAACUGUAUUCAUAUAUUUCUAGCUAGACAUCUCUCUAUAUAUAAUUAUAUCUGUAUAGGAUUUGCAAAGACUUGCAAACAUGUGAAGCAAAAAUUCAUAUAUUAAAUAAUGUAUACACAUAGAUACAGAUAUCUAUAUGUAUAAAGACAGAAAUGCCUAAACACCUCAGGAGAGUAUUUACCAGAGCUCAUUUUGAGCAGCUGGAUAUGAUGGUCAAACACGGAAGGUUUAAUCAAGUUCCAUACAACGAACGAUUUUGUAUUUGUGGAGCAUCAGAGGUGGAGGAUAUCACACAUGUACUGUUCAGCUGUGAAUUGUAUAAGAAAGAGAGAGAGCAAUGCCUCGGACCAUACAUUAUUCACAAAACACACUGGGACCCACAUAUUAAAACUUCAUUUUUGUUGGCCAGCCAGAAUCCUAAAAUAACACAUAAAACAGCCCUUUUCCUAUUCAAAGCCACACAGCUGAGAAUUGCAUAUUUGGAAUCAAUUGGGGGUAAACUGUAAAGGUGAUGCAGACAUUUGACCUGGACGGGAUCUUGUUAACAGCUUGUUUAUUUUAACUUCUUUUGUACCGCGGGUUGUAUGUUGUAUGUAUGUCUAUGUGUUAAAUGUUUUGAUACGACCGAUAGGCUAAUCAAUAAAAUGUGAUUUGAUAUAUGUAUAUAGGAUUUGCAAAGACUUGCAAACAUAUGAGGGGAAAUUCAUAUUUAAAAUUAAUAUAUAUAGAGAGAGAUAGAAAUAUUUAGGUACAUAGGGAUUGCAAAGGGUUGCAGGGGGAAGUGCCUACAUAUCUGUACAAGAGAUUAACAAAUAUUUCAGGGAAAAAUGCUUUUAUAAGAUGAAUGGGUAUAUAUAUUUUCUUCUUCCUGACUUGCAAGGGCUUAUUUUCCUUUUCAAAACAUUCCCUUCCUUAAGAGCGAGGGAGACUUUGGAAAAACAAACAUACUGAUAAGGAAGGAGAGAAAUAUAUAUUGCAAGCAAUAGCCUCCAGUCUCAGCUGCCAGCUUGACCUUGACCCCAUUAUAAGAUGGCUUAUCUUCGGGUAUAUAUGAUAACUAAUAGUGGAUUCCUUGGUAAGGUAGAAAGCAGUAGGAAAAGUGGAAGAUCGCAUUCCUGGUAAAUGGCCUUAAUCAAGGACGCCACAGCCAGGCAUGAGCAGAGCUGUUAAUGAUUGGGUGAUUUGGAGGUCUCUCAUCCAUACAGUGACCAGAAGUUGAAGAUGACUUGAUGGCACUUAAUAACAACAAUGUACAUUUAUUACCCAAUGAUUUUCUUAAAUUUAGUGCAUUCCAUAGUUCCCUUUUAGUAGUACUGUAUGUGUAUGGACUCUGGAAUUGGGUCGCCUCUGAGUUUAAGCUGAGGGGAUAACCAAAUGGUCUGAUGAAGCCGGACCACCAAGACUCCUAUAUAGUUGGAUCUACUUAAGAAUUUUCAAUCAGAUAUAUACUAAAUGAUUAAGUACCAAGAAAUAUUAAGACAGCUAUUAUUGAGCUAUCUCAGGAAUAAUACAGGUUGCCUGUAAUCUAUUCUAUAGAAACUUGAAAAUAAGUUACACUGAGCACAUAGAAGAGACUUCUUAGUACUGCAUACAGAGUGAUUGUAGAAGUCUUCAUACUUAAAAUAUUUCAAAAAUAAUGGAUAGGGGAGGAAUUCCCCCCCUCCUAUAAGUAUCUGCAAAUAAAAAAACUGAUAGCAACCUGUUUACCAAUGUUAAGCCUCUUUAAAAACACUUCCAGACACCCUGAGCAUAUUCUUGAGCAUACUACUGAAUAUUCACACCCUAUAACAUGGAGAAAUAAUUUGGAAUCCAAUAAAUGUAUUCCUUCAUUUGCUAUUCUCAUCUACAAAGUGUGACUACAGAAUAUAUUAUUCCACACCAGUGAGAGCCUUUCGUGGAAUGCCACACAGACCUUCAUCUAUUGCACUUGAAAGUUAUUCCUAAAAUAUCAUUGAACUGCUUUUUUAGAAGUGUCAGGGGGAGUAAUUAAAAAUGUCAUGGAAAAAGGAAUAACAGGUGAAGUUCUGAGUUUCAUUUUAAAAAAUAUUAUUGCUUCUUCAGUGCCAUUUCAGGUAUUAAAGAAACCCCUUCAUUUUGGAUUAAGUAUGCAAUGUGACCUCAGAUACAUGGUCUCACAUACUUAAUUUCUAUGCAGCAUAUUAGACUAAAAAAGUCAUUGAAAUCAAGCAUAUUUCCCCCUUACUGAAUGAGUAAUGUAUUCAGAAAAUGUUAGGGGCUUUCCUCCCACUGGAAAUUUUAUCCCUAAGCUUGGUUUAGUACAGACAGCUGCAAUGCAUGUCUCUUCCCCACUUCUUAACUCACUGUCCCAAAUGUUACUUAUGUCCCAAAUGUUACUUAGUCUAUUUCAUGGCUUUCUCCAUUGUUUGCUGAUUCCUGGCACAUUGCCCAGAAUAGAUCAGUGAUCAUAUUUUUAAUAUUGUGUAUAAUAUUAGUAUUAUUAUUAUUUCAAAAUAAUGGUGUAGUUUGCGGUGCUGAAUAGAAGCCAAACAAAACUGAGCUUUAGCAAAGAAAAUAUAAAAUAUGUAAUCUAAUAGAAAUGUAUUCCAUACAAACACAUAUUUGCUGAAUGGAUCAUAUAGAUUUAAUGAAAUUAUCCUGCCUUGUAAACAGGAUAAGGAAAGUAAUAAAGGCAGAUUUUACAUGUACUUCUCCACGGAAAGGAGGGAGGAGAGAACUAGCAAUUAUUACAAAAUGAAUUUGGCCUGGUCUUUUCUUCUUCUUCUUUUUUUUAAGAACUGCAAAUAUAAUUGGUGCCUGUGAAGGCAAACUUUAAAUUUCUAAUUCAUAAACAGCAGACAUGUGCAGGCUGUUGCUCAGGGUGGGGAGAGAAGGAAUUACUAGAAAGGAAAACCUCCCCCACAGAGACUUAGGUCUUCCUUUCAAAAGGGCUCUAGAUCAUGUCUUACUUUGAGAACCAGCAGUGUUUAUAUGAAAGAUUGAAAGGAAUGGUUUGAGGCAAACAUACACACCCUGCCUUCCUAUUUUCCCCUGAGCCCCCUACCCCACCCCAAAAUAUAGCAAAAGUAAAAAAGAAACAAAGUUUGCAUUUAUAGAAUAGAAGCCAAAUCUGGUAGUCUAUUGGCUACAAAGUCUUGCCCAAAGCCUUGGCAAGACUUGAGAGUUCAUGUGUAUUAUUUUUUUACAACAUUUCUAGUACUUAAAUCAGAAUCCUGUUGGUAUUGUGCAAAUGAAUAACUACUCUUACACAAGUGCUGGCUUUUUAGCUGUAAUACAACAGAUGUAUUCAGUUCAUGAUUGCAUAGUUUGAAUUCUACAGCAGAAAUGUGACCAUUUCACAGAAGCCUACAUCAUAUUUUGACCAUUUCACAUCAUAUUUCAAUCCACACUAGAGAAGAAUCAUUGAAACAAUUGGAUACAGCAUUGAAGAUUUUAUAAAGUGGGAGUAUUUUCCUGCAACAGCAUUCCAGCCAUGCAGUUACAUAUUCUUGGGUAGUGCAUUACUAUUUCUUACUGCCUACAGUGUCCCAGUUCUUUCACUGUGGUUUCCAAAAUGUGCACUGUGUAUUCCCACUUGCUUAAUGGCACACUGGCAGAUACACAAUAAUUAGCAUAGUAUUGCUAAUUAAUAGAAGAAUGGUGUAGCCCAACAAAAGCAGGGUAUAGUUUACACAUCACAAACACAAUAUAGGAUCGUGGCCUGUGAUGUUCUUAUUUUAAAUCCAAAUGAAUUGUCAAUUCCAUAUAUACACAAGAUAUGAUUCUGGGCUGUUCAUAUAGUCAGCCAAAGAGCAUAUAGGUCUAUUUUAUUGGAUGCAAAUGAGAUGUAUGCUAAACAACUAAUGUAAUGUGGCUCAUUAAAAAGGUAAAGGUUUUCCCCUGACGUUAAGUCGUCGUGACCGACUCUGGGGGUUGGUGCUCAUCUCCAUUUCUAAGCCGAAGAGCCGGCAUUGUCCGUAGACAUCUCCAAGGUCAUGUGGCUGACAUGACUGCAUGGAGCACCGUUACCUUCCUGCCAGAGCCGUACCUAUUGAUCUACUCACAUUUGCAUGUUUUCGAACUGCUAGGUUGGCAGGAGCUGGGGCUAACAGCGGGUGCUCAUUUCGCUCCUGGGAUUUGAACCUGGCACCUUUUGGUCCGCAAGUUCAGCAGCUCAGUGCUUUAAUGCACUGUGCCACCGGGGCCCCUAAUGUGGCUCAUUAAUUGACUGCAAAUAAAAGGCGCAGGUCAUAAAAAAGCAAAGAGUUAGCAACCUUUUAAUGAUGGCAUUGGAGGUGGAAAACAAAGAUGGUAUUCAGAGAAAGGGCUGGUUCUUUCUUAUACAAAAAGGUGUCCUUACAUUCUCACAAGAGCUGUUUUAGAAUCUAGUCUCUUAAGACUAGAUCUUGUACAUAACACUUGUCCAUGGCUGAUUAACCUGACCAGUGGUAUUUUAAUAUUACCUCUUUUGAAAUGACCAUGUGGCAUUAGAAAAACAUUUAGGGUUUUGUCAAUAAAGGGAAAUAUACUUGAUACUAACAUUUUCCUAGUUGGAGAACUUUGACCACAAGAUGUUAUGAUCCACAGUGAUGUCCCCCUUAUUGCUGAAGACCUAAACCCUCUUGUGAUAUCACUAGACUAUUAUUAAAUAAUGGUUAAACUGUGUACAACCAAAGAGUCCCAGUGAUAUUCCAAAUGUAGUGCAUGUGUGGGCUGAUCACAUAUAUGUCAGACCAGGAUAGCUGAGUACUACUGGCAUUUCAAAAGCAACUACUGUAUCACAGAGGUCACCAAUGGUAGUACAGUGACUCUUUUUACUCAGGUUCAGAACAUGGGCUUGGAGGAUACAUAAGCCCCUCUUGUCCGUACUCUUUGCAACAGCAAGUCUUUGCCUGUGGUGGCAAAAUAGAAACCUUGCUGGAAAUGCUAAUGCAGCAGUACCUCCUGUCUCAAUCCCCAGCUCCUCCAGGUUGGCCUACGAUCAGGGGCGGUUGAACUGUGAGGCAAAUUAGGUAGUUGCUUGUGGUGCCAUCCUCUAGAGGGCGCAGUUGAGAUGCUCCCACAUGCAUGCGCGCACAACCCCCACCUCCUCCCAGGGUUGCUCCGCUCGCCUUCAACCUGGGCCCGCCUUCGGGGCCUGUGGCCACCUCCGGGGCGAGGCCCGCCUUGACCCACAUCUAUGGCAGGCAUCCUCAGAGGUUGUGAGGUCUGUUGGAAGCUAGGUAAGUGGGGUUUAUAUAUCUGUGGAAAGUCCAGGAUGGGAGAAAGAGCUCUUGUCUGUUUGAGGCUAGUGUGAAUGUUGCAAUUGGCCAGCUUGAUUAGCAUUUAAUGGCCUUGCAGAGUCAAAGCUUGGCUGCUUCCUCACUGGGGGGCAUCCUAGGUUGGGAGGUGUUAGCUGGCCCUGAUUGUUUCCUGUCUGGAUUUCCCCUGUUUUCAGAGUGUUGUUCUUUAUUUACUGUCCUGAUUUUAGAGGUUUUUUUAAUACCAGGGCCAGAUUCCUUGUUGGUGGCCUUUUAAUUAUCUGCCUUGAUAUUCUGGGUUAUAUGGCUGUGUUGAAGGACCCUCACUGCUCUUCCACACAACCAUAUAACCCAGAAUAUCAAAGCAGAAUAACCCACAAUAUAUGCUUUGAACUGGGUUAUCUGAUUCCACACUGCCCUAUAUCCCAGUUCAAUGUUUGGUGCUAAAUUCGCAAAUAUAGUAAUUCCUACAUAACAUUGCCAUGUAUAACUUCUUUUUCUGUUCAUUUGUUAUAAAACAUGAUGUUUUGGUGCUUAAUUUGCAAAAUCAUAAUGUAAUUUAAUAGGCUUUUCCUUAAUACUGUGAUGUCUCAUGGGCCUCAGAGUUCUGACCCUAGCGCCAUCAUGGAUAAUGAAGAUGAGAACAUGGGUUUUUUGCCAUCUCAGCAGGAGACGGAAUCAUUCCAGAUGCCGGUUGUUGACCAUUCUUGCCAAGAGCCCAUUAAAAUGGACCUUGAACAAGUUUUUCCCAGCGCCUCUCCUCCCUUUGCGAGAAAAGAAUCCUAUGCUGCGAGUCGGGGUCAAAAAGAACAAAAAAGGAAAAGCACCAGAUUAGCAGCCAGGCAGAACACUAAUUAGCUAAGUUUCUCUUGGGAAUUUGCAGGGAGGAACGCAGCUGCAGGAAGAUGUCUUUCGCUUCUCUUUCCCUUGGGAAAGGAAGCUCUGGACACCUGCUCUGCAGGAAGAUUGAACUUCCUUAAAAGUUCCCUGCACCGAGAAAUCCGUGCGGAGUCAACAGAUCAGCUUCAGGAUUAACUUCGGUUCCAGCCUAGUGUGGACUGCGUUUUAAGUCUGCAACUCCAGUUUCCUUGCCUUGCCUUGCCUUGUCAAGUUUUCAUGAACUAUCUCGUCGUGUUUCCAGCCUUGGAUUUUGUCUCAAGUAUCUAGCCUCAUCUCAGGUUCUUGCUUUGGACUUACUUUGAACUUUAGAAACACUUUGGACGUUUCCCCACUCUACGGCUUGGAAGUAGAGUGUGUUUCGGUUUUGGGAUUACAACUUUGAACUCUAAUAUUAUAUAUUGGACAAUAUAUUUCUGGACUAUAUUUGACCUUCUCUGAAAGGUCUAUUGCUGGACUACAUUUUCUACUUGUUUUUAUUCUACUAUAAUAUUUCUUUAAUAAAGAUAUUAGAUUGUA